UGAGUAACCUGCCCUUAACUCUGGGAUAAGCCUGGGAAACUGGGUCUAAUACCGGAUAUGACUCCUCAUCGCAUGGUGGGGGGUGGAAAGCUUUUUGUGGUUUUGGAUGGACUCGCGGCCUAUCAGCUUGUUGGUGAGGUAAUGGCUCACCAAGGCGACGACGGGUAGCCGGCCUGAGAGGGCGAUCGGCCACACUGGGACCGAGACACGGCCCAGACCUCCGUACGGGAGCAG
rnacentral:rRNA from 1 species